AGGCGAACAAUAGCGUUGCCAGUCCACAGGCUUAUGGUCAGCUGCUAGCCAUCUACCUCCUACAAAAUGAUCUGCCGAAUGCCAAAUUCCCCUGGAAGAGGAUUCCUCAAGAAAUCAAGCAGUCUCACACAGAGCUGAGAAACAUCUGGAAG